rnacentral:misc_RNA from 1 species
UCUCCGUAGGUGAACCUGCGGAGGGAUCAUUACUGAGUGAGGGCCUUCGGGCUUGACCUCCAACCCUUUUGUGAACCACCUCGUUGCUUCGGGGGCGACCCUGCCGUCCGCGGCUGAGCGCCCCCGGGGUCAAUCAAACACUGCAUUCUCUGCGUCGGAGUUUAAGUAAAUUAAACAAAACUUUCAACAACGGAUCUCUUGGUUCUGGCAUCGAUGAAGAACGCAGC